UUCGGUGGUCAUAGCGUUAGGGAAACGCCCGGUUACAUUCCGAACCCGGAAGCUAAGCCUUUCCGCGCCGAUGGUACUGCACAGGGGACUGUGUGGGAGAGUAGGUCGCCGCCGAAC
rnacentral:rRNA from 1 species